CCGCGUGAGUGAUGAAGGUUUUCGGAUCGUAAAACUCUGUUGUUAGGGAAGAACAAGUACCGUUCGAAUAGGGCGGUACCUUGACGGUACCUAACCAGAAAGCCACGGCUAACUACGUGCCAGCAGCCGCGGUAAUACGUAGGUGGCAAGCGUUGUCCGGAAUUAUUGGGCGUAAAGCGCGCGCAGGCGGUUUCUUAAGUCUGAUGUGAAAGCCCCCGGCUCAACCGGGGAGGGUCAUUGGAAACUGGGGAACUUGAGUGCAGAAGAGGAGAGUGGAAUUCCACGUGUAGCGGUGAAAUGCGUAGAGAUGUGGAGGAACACCAGUGGCGAAGGCGACUCUCUGGUCUGUAACUGACGCUGAGGCGCGAAAGCGUGGGGAGCGAACAGGAUUAGAUACCCUGGUAGUCCACGCCGUAAACGAUGAGUGCUAAGUGUUAGAGGGUUUCCGCCCUUUAGUGCUGCAGCAAACGCAUUAAGCACUCC
rnacentral:rRNA from 1 species